AUACGAAGGGUGCGAGCGCUAAUCGGAAUUACUGGGCGUAAAGCGCGCGUAGGCGGUUGGAUAAGUCGGAUGUGAAAGCCCCGGGCUCAACCUGGGAAUUGCAUUCGAAACUGUCCGGCUAGAGUAUGGUAGAGGGAAGCGGAAUUCCACAUGUAGCGGUGAAAUGCGUAGAUAUGUGGAGGAACACCAGUGGCGAAGGCGGCUUCCUGGACCAAUACUGACGCUGAGGUGCGAAAGCGUGGGGAGCAAACAGGAUUAGAAACCCCAGUAGUCC
rnacentral:rRNA from 1 species